CGUGCCUAAUACAUGCAAGUCGAACGGACCGAACGGGGGCUUGCUCUUGUUUGGUCAGAGGGGGACGGGUGAGUAACACAUGGGCAACCUGCCCGCAAGACCGGGAUAACUCCGGGAAACCAGAGCUAAUACCGGAUAACACCCAAAACCGCAUGGUCUUCGGUUGAAAGGCGGUCUUUGGGCUGUCACUUGCGGAUGGGACCACGACGCAUUAGCUAGUUGGGGAGGUAACGGCUCACCUCGGCGACGAUGCGUAGCCGGCCAGACAGGGUGACCGGCCUCACUGGGACUGAGACACGGCCCAGACUCCUACGGGAGGCAACAUUAGGGAAUCUUCCGCAAUGGGAGAAAGCCUGACCGAGCGACGCCGCAUGAGCGAAGAAGGCCUUCGGAUCUUAGAGCUCUGUUGUGAGGGACGAAGGAGCGCCGUUUGAAGAAGGCGGCGCGGUGACAGUACCUCACGAGAAAGCCCCGGCUAACUACCUGCCAACUACCGCGGUAAUACGUAUGGGGCGAGCGUUGUCCGGAAUUAUUGAGCGUAAAGCGCGCGCAGGCGGUCUCUUAAGUCUGAUGUGAUAGCCCACGGCUCUGCCGUGCAAGGUCAUUGGAAACUGGGGGACUUAAGGGCAGGAGAGGAGAGCGGAAUUCCUCGUGUAGCGGUGAAAUGGCGAAGAGAUGUGAAGGAACACCGGUGGCGAAGGCAGCUCUCUUGGCCUUGCACCUGACGCUGAGGCGCGAAAGCGUGGGGAGCAAAACACGAUUAAAUCCCCCUGCCAUCCCCAGCCGUAAACGAUGGAUGCUAAGUGUUAGAGGGGCCACCCCCUUUAAGGCUGCAAUUACACCGAUAAGCACUCAGCCUGGGGAGUUCGGCCGCAAGGGUGAAACUCAAAGGAAAUGACGGGGAACCCGCACAAACGGGUGGAGCACGAGGUUUAAUUCAAAGCAACGCGAAGAACCUUACCAGGUCUGGACAUCCCCUGACAACACAAGAGAGUGGGAGUUCCCCGUUAGGGGGGACAGGGAGACAGGUGGUGCAGGGUUG
rnacentral:rRNA from 1 species